GACGAACGCUGGCGGCGUGCUUAACACAUGCAAGUCGGACGAUGAAAGCGGGAGCUUGCUCCUGCUGGAUUAGUGGCGAACGGGUGAGUAACACGUGAGCAAUCUGCCCCGAACUCUGGGAUAAGCGUUGGAAACGACGUCUAAUACCGGAUACGACGCGCGAAGGCAUCUUCUGCGCGUGGAAAGAAUUUCGGUUCGGGAUGAGCUCGCGGCCUAUCAGCUAGUUGGUGAGGUAAUGGCUCACCAAGGCGACGACGGGUAGCCGGCCUGAGAGGGUGACCGGCCACACUGGGACUGAGACACGGCCCAGACUCCUACGGGAGGCAGCAGUGGGGAAUAUUGCACAAUGGGCGCAAGCCUGAUGCAGCAACGCCGCGUGAGGGACGACGGCCUUCGG
rnacentral:rRNA from 1 species